GUCUAGAAAUUCUCAUUAAAAGAGAAAUGUUUCCCUCUCCCGUAUCGUCCUUCCAGGUGCUGAGAUGUGGAUGGAAUGUGCUGUGGUGCCUCCAAGCCGUCCUGUACUAUGGAGUGAAAGCCAAGUGCUACAGGUACUCCUGCCUGUGAGGGGCAGGACAGUAGGAGUGAAUCUCCAGAGAAGGCAGGGCAGCCUGGGAAAGCUGGCUUCUGGAAACCUUUCACCUGACACAGAAAUAAAGGAGGUAGACUGUGGUAUCGUGGAAAGAGACUUUGAAAUUUUGACAGCACACUGGCAAAAACUUCCUACCCUUCACAUCAGGGACUGUGUUCUUUGCAGGGCUAUGCAGAUUCUGAAACACAAUGCUAUAAUUACAGGCCUGGAUUCUGUGUGUGUUCUCAAGCCUUGAGACAUCAAGGUAUUAAGUUUUCUUUCCCAGAAUAAAUGCAAUGUUUCUUAUAUCUGAUUAU
rnacentral:lncRNA from 1 species